rnacentral:rRNA from 1 species
UACGAAGGGGGCGAGCGUUGUUCGGAUUUACUGGGCGUAAAGGGCGCGUAGGCGGCCUACUAAGUCGGACGUGAAAUCCCUCGGCUCAACCGAGGAACUGCGUCCGAUACUGGCAGGCUGGAAUCCGGGAGAGGGAUGUGGAAUUCCAGGUGUAGCGGUGAAAUGCGUAGAUAUCUGGAGGAACACCGGUGGCGAAGGCGGCAUCCUGGACCGGUAUUGACGCUGAGGCGCGAAAGCUAGGGGAGCAAACGGG